GCACUGGUGGCGACAUCAUGUAUUCGCCGGAGAUGGCAAGUAAACUAGUGGUCCUGUGCGCUAUACUCCACAAUAUCGCGGUAAGGAGUAGCGUAGAGCUUCCUCAGACAGAGGAAUUGCCUGAUGAGGAGCCAGGGGUUGUCCGACACUUCGGUGGGGGGAGUGUUACAAGGAGGGGGAGCCAAGUCAGGGCAAGCAUUGUUGCUGAAUUUUUCAGCUGAAAGACCACACAAACUGAGGACGACCACAACGGCAAGCACCACAUGAUGCACCAGCUCAGCACCCUUCCCCUUCUCACUCCCCCUCCACUUCCCAGUCCCCCUCCCCUUCUCACUCCCCCUCCCCUUCUCACUCCCCCUCCCCUUCUCACUCCCCCUCAGCUUCCCAAUCCCCCUCAGCUUCCCAAUCCACCUCAGCUUCCCAAUCACCCUCAGCUUCACAAUCCACCUCAGCUUCCCAGUCACCCUCAGCUUCCCAGGCCCCCUCAGCUUCCCAGGCCCACUCCACUUUCCACUCCCCUUCUCAGCCAACCUCUCCUUCUCUUUCUGUGACCCCUUCUCCUCCUUCCCAUACCCCUUCUCCUUCUACUUCCAACUCACCUUCUCAGCCCCCCUCACCCUCUAUUGGCCUAACAUUUUCACCGCCCCCCUCGCCCUCUCAAUCAGACCCACCCUCUGAAAUUACAUCCCCAAUCCAACCUCCUUCCCCCAUCCAGCCUCCUUCCCCCAUCAAGCCUCCUUCACCCAUCCAGCCUCCUUCCCCCAUCCAGCCUCCUUCCCCAAUCCCUCCUCCUUCCCCCAUCCAGCCGCCUUCCCCCAUCCAGCCGCCAUCCCCACCCAGUGAAUGGGCAGAGGAAGCCCCUGAAGACAGUUCAGGGAGUCUUCAUGUUGCCGAGGAAAAUGUUGCAGUUGGAGAUCCUACAAGUUUUGGAGGCAUUCUUUACACCAUGCGCCAACACCUGCAAGGAUUAAUGCAUUGUGUUGAUCAUUUGCAAA